rnacentral:rRNA from 1 species
CAGCAGCCACGGUAAUACGUAGGUCCCGAGCGUUGUCCGGAUUUAUUGGGCGUAAAGCGAGCGCAGGCUGUUAGAUAAGUCUGAAGUUAAAGGCUGUGGCUUAACCAUAGUACGCUUUGGAAACUGUUUAACUUGAGUGCAAGAGGGGAGAGUGGAAUUCCAUGUGUAGCGGUGAAAUGCGUAGAUAUAUGGAGGAACACCGGUGGCGAAAGCGGCUCUCUGGCUUGUAACUGACGCUGAGACUCGAAAGCGUGGGGAGCAAACAGGAUUAGAUACCCGCGUAGUCCCUGUCUCUUAUACA